rnacentral:rRNA from 1 species
UGAGCAACCUGCCUCAGUGUGGGGGAUAGCCGGCCAACGGCCGGGUAAUACCGCAUACGCUCUUAGGGAGACAUCUCCUAUUGAGGAAACUUUCGAGGCACUGGGAGGGGCUCGCGGCCUAUCAGCUAGUUGGUGGGGUAACGGCCUGCCAAGGCAACGACGGGUAGCUGGUCUGAGAGGAUGGCCAGCCACACUGGGACUGAGACACGGCCCAGACCUCCGUACGGGAGGNAG